GAACGGCAGGCUCGUGUCGGCGCUUGGUCCGAUGCUCCAAUUGCGGGGGUGGCGAGUCCUACUCCUCGUCUUCCUCCUCUUCCUCGCUAGUCUCUUCCUCCGACUCCCCGCUGUCGGAGACAUACUCAGCGCUCUCCACGCUGCCCUCUUGGCUGCCCUCUUCCUCCUCCUCGUCCGGGUUCCCGUUCGAGACAGGGGAAAACCAGUUGGUCCACUUCUGCGUGAAAAACAGUCGGCGACAUCAAGCGACAUGCAGAGAUUCAAGAAAGCAAUGAAACUAAAACAGAUACGUGUACUCAACACAUGGUACUCACCCGAUUCGGAGGAGGAUUCUCCGCGCUGAAAGCCCUCACUCGCCGAGACCCCCUGGGGUUCUCGC
rnacentral:lncRNA from 1 species